rnacentral:lncRNA from 1 species
UUUUUGUCUCCUAAGACUAUAUUGAAUAGCAUCAUACAAAGAGAGAAUGGCUUCAUACAAAGUUGCUUUUGUUUUACUUUUUCUUCUUCUUUCUCAAGCCAAAGGUUAGGAUAAAACAUUAUUAAAAUCAUACCAUUGCACCUUACAUGAUGUUAUCAAACAUGUUUUUCUUUGACCACAACUUAUUUUUAUAUUAAUAGUUUUUUUAAUUAUGAAAAGUGUUAUUUAUAAGUAGCAUUCUUGUCUAAUUUCUAAUUACAUAAAUUGUAUUUUAAUAAAUUGAUAUUUGAAUUGAAUUAAAGAAUUAAAGGUUUUAAUCAUAGUGCUUUGACUUUUAUUCUUUUUAAGAGAAGGAAUUGUUCUUUUUAGCUUCUCUACUUAUUGUUUAAGUAUCUAUUUUUCUUUUCACUCUCAUUUUUCUCUUUAAAUGUAGAAAACCAUGUGAAUGGUUCGGAGGAGAUAUGCGGCGUAUAUUUGGGCCCAUGCACAAGUCAUCUAGACUGCAAGAAGCCAUGCAAGCGUUUGGAUUAUUUUGUGGGGUUGUGUAUACCUAACCCUAAGUUUGGUCAAAGUGAUACUAUUUGUUGUUGUCUUAAUAGGUAAAAAAUCUCCCGAAUAAUACUUAUUUAUACAUUUUGAUUUUCAGCAAAGAAGCAAGCUCAUAUGGAAUAAUAUUUAUGUCUUUUUUAU